rnacentral:tRNA from 1 species
GGCAGUCGAGGGCUGGUUGCCCAUACCCGGCUGAUAACCGGGUGACGCUGAGUUCGAUUCCCAGGGCUGCCA